AAGUACAAGUCGUAACAAGGUAUCCGUAGGUGAACCUGCGGAUGGAUCAUUACAGAAAGAUUACUAUACGCUGUGUGAACUGUUUUGAAUGAGUAGUAGUCAGUGGAUGUCUGUGCUUGCGCACAGUGCCGCUGGCUAUUGCGCACCUACUAAACGUAUUACUUUACCGAGACUAACGUAUGUUGCUUUGAACAAAUCAAACAACUUUUAGCAAUGGAUCUCUUGGCUCUC
rnacentral:misc_RNA from 1 species